rnacentral:rRNA from 1 species
AGUGAACGCUGGCGGUGUGCCUAAUACAUGCAAGUCGAACGGAGUUAGUAGCAAUACUGGCUCAGUGGCGAACGGGUGAGUAACGCGUUGGUGAUCUGCCUUGAAGUGUGGAAUAACGUUUCGAAAGGAACGCUAAUACCGCAUGCGCUCUCGACUUUCAGAAAGUUGAGAGUAAAGGAUUUAUUCGCUUCAAGAGGAGCCUGCGUCCCAUCAGCUGGUUGGUAGGGUAACGGCCUACCAAGGCUAUGACGGGUAGGGGACCUGAGAGGGUGGCCCCCCACAAUGGAACUGAAACACGGUCCAUACACCUACGGGUGGCAGCAGUAGGGAAUAUUAGAAAUGGACGAAAGUCUGAUCUAGCAACACCGCGUGUGCGAAGAAGGCCUUCGGGUCGUAAAGCACUUUUUGGAAGGAAUAGGAAGGAAUGUACUUCCAGAAUAAGUCUCGGCUAACUACGUGCCAGCAGCCGCCGUAAAAC